GCAUGGCGGCUUACGGAGUUUCGCUCGUUGUAGUCUUAGUUUAGAUGUUUUCCAUUGAAAUUAUCUUCCGUUCCAUUCAUAAUUGAAUUACGAAAUUCCUUCGUUAUCAGACGUGUUUACUUUCUGUAGCAGACAAAUGGAUGUUGUAGAGGAAACUGGCGGGCUGAUAAGGGAGCCCAUAAUAACAAUCUUUGAAUUAAGUGACUAUGCACAGGGACUUGAUGAAAAAGACAAACGACAGUAUGUAGAAAAACUAGUUAAAUGUGAAAUAGAUUGCCCAUUUUUUAUUCCACAACAAAUAUGGGUAGUGGAAGCCGUUGUUAUCGAAAAACUGUGCCCUUCGUUAUAAUAAUUAAUUAAUUAAUUAUAAUGGGCAACAUCAGACCCCGACAUCUGUCGGACAUCCGACGGACUGCAUUGUGUUAUGUGGGAUUACGUGUAUUAAUUAAUAUUUCAUUUUUGCAUGAUUAGCAACUUACUGCAGAAAAUAUAUUUAGGAAGACAAGGCCAACGGGAGCAAAAUGGACUUGUGGAAAGAGAUGGGGUAGGAUUCAAACUGUAAGAAAGAAUUUGGAAAGACUUCAUGAGGAGAAUGAAGUCCAAGGAAUGAAGAUGAAAUCAAGAUCUAAUCAUUUUUGCCAUUUAAAUCUGCAUUUUGGCUUAACGCGAUACAACUAUUUAUUUCCUGUUUUGCAAGUGUGAAACGAAAGCCUAAAACGGCUUUCGUUUAAUUUUUACUAAACUUGCUUUGUGAAAGUUUAACUCUACAUCAACCAGACUAUAAAGCAUUUUCCAAAAGGCUUGUUAAACUCUGCAUGUUUCAGCAGGCAGCCAUUAAUGACGGGAGGGAGAAAUAGGACCCAUCUAGCGGAGAAAUAGGACCCUAAAAAGAAAGUCAGAAAAAGAGGUCCUAUUUCACCGGGUCCUAUUACUCCAUGGCCUAUUUUUGGGUAUUAUUUCUCCGGGUCCUAUUUGUCUGGGUCCUAUUUCUCCGGCAUCAAAACGGAAAUUUUUUCAUCAUGAUAGGAUUUUUUUCCAUAUUAACUUUUUAAUUUUUUAACGGAAAUCGAAAGCUCUUGGUGAGAGCUAUCGAUUGCCAUAAAAUUCAUAAUGAUUGAACCUUUCGUUUGGAUGCAAUAAAUUAUUCAAUUUUGCCAACUUUGGGGGAGGGAGGGGAAAUGACGUAGAUACACACCCAACCUUUCGUACAACCGUUCGGAUAAUUUGCUUCACUUAAAAUAAUAAACAGUGUACUUUUC